UACGAAGGGGGCUAGCGUUGCUCGGAAUCACUGGGCGUAAAGCGCACGUAGGCGGCUUUCUAAGUCAGGGGUGAAAUCCUGGAGCUCAACUCCAGAACUGCCUUUGAUACUGGGGAGCUCGAGUCCGGAAGAGGUGAGUGGAACUCCGAGUGUAGAGGUGAAAUUCGUAGAUAUUCGGAAGAACACCAGUGGCGAAGGCGGCUCACUGGUCCGGUACUGACGCUGAGGUGCGAAAGCGUGGGGAUCAAACAGG
rnacentral:rRNA from 1 species